GGAGAGGUGCCAGAGUGGUUGAAUGGGGCGGUCUCGAAAACCGUUGUACGAGCAUUCGUACCGAGGGUUCGAAUCCCUCCCUCUCCG
rnacentral:tRNA from 1 species